AAACUUUCAACAACGGAUCUCUUGGCUCUCGCAUCGAUGAAGAACGCAGCA
rnacentral:rRNA from 1 species